AAACCAACCGGGAUUGCCUCAGUAACGGCGAGUGAAGCGGCAAAAGCUCAAAUUUGAAAUCUGGCACUUUCAGUGUCCGAGUUGUAAUUUGUAGAAGUAGUUUUGGGGCUGGUCCUUGUUUAUGUUCCUUGGAACAGGACGUCAUAGAGGGUGAGAAUCCCGUGUGGCGAGGAUCCCAGUCCUUUGUAAAACGCUUUCGAAGAGUCGAGUUGUUUGGGAAUGCAGCUCUAAGUGGGUGGUAAAUUCCAUCUAAAGCUAAAUAUUGGCGAGAGACCGAUAGCGAACAAGUACAGUGAUGGAAAGAUGAAAAGAACUUUGAAAAGAGAGUGAAAAAGUACGUGAAAUUGUUGAAAGGGAAGGGCAUUUGAUCAGACAUGGUGUUUGGACGCCCUGCGCUCCUUGUGGGUGCAGGACACGCUUUUCACUGGGCCAACAUCAGUUUUGGCAGCAGGAUAAAUCGCCAGGAACGUAGCUGCCCUCGGGUAGUGUUACAGCCUGGUGGAAUACUGCUAGCCGGGACUGAGGACUGCGUCUUUGACAA
rnacentral:rRNA from 1 species